UCUCCUGGAAAACGGGUGGUAAUGCCGGAUGCUCCGACUCCUCGCAUGGGGUGUCGGGAAAGAUUUCAUCGGUAUGGGAUGGGGUCGCGUCCUAUCAGGUAGUCGGCGGGGUAACGGCCCACCGAGCCUACGACGGGUAGCCGGCCUGAGAGGGCGACCGGCCACAUUGGGACUGAGAUACGGCCCAGACUCCUACGGGAGGCAGCAGUGGGGAAUAUUGCACAAUGGGCGCAAGCCUGAUGCAGCGACGCCGCGUGCGGGAUGACGGCCUUCGGGUUGUAAACCGCUUUUGAUCGGGAGCAAGCCUUCGGGUGAGUGUACCUUUCGAAUAAGCACCGGCUAACUACGUGCCAGCAGCCGCGGUAAUACGUAGGGUGCAAGCGUUAUCCGGAAUUAUUGGGCGUAAAGGGCUCGUAGGCGGUUCGUCGCGUCCGGUGUGAAAGUCCAUCGCUUAACGGUGGAUCUGCGCCGGGUACGGGCGGGCUGGAGUGCGGUAGGGGAGACUGGAAUUCCCGGUGUAACGGUGGAAUGUGUAGAUAUCGG
rnacentral:rRNA from 2 species